UACGUAGGUGGCAAGCGUUGUCCGGAUUUAUUGGGUUUAAAGGGUGCGUAGGCGGCCCUAUAAGUCAGUGCUGAAAUAUCCCGGCUUAACCGGGAGGGUGGCAUUGAUACUGUAGGGCUUGAGUAAAGUUGAGGUUGGCGGAAUUGACGGUGUAGCGGUGAAAUGCUUAGAUAUCGUCAAGAACACCUAUUGCGAAGGCAGCUAACUAAGCUUUAACUGACGCUGAGGCACGAAAGUGUGGGGAUCAAACAGGAUUAGAAACCCCAGUAGUCC
rnacentral:rRNA from 1 species